ensembl:lncRNA
CCUUAUUAAUCUCCACUGCUUUCAUAUUAGAGCUCAGAUGAAGUCCAGCUGGCCACUAGUGAGGUUGAAUCAGGGAAAGCCAGCACUGCAGAGUUGCAGGUCUUGGAAUGUGAUAAAUGCCAGAUGGUUGGAAAACCUUUGACUGCUGCCCAGCCAUUACAGUGUAUACAGGUGUCUGCUGUCUGGGAGCUAAUUGGUAUUGACCUGACAGGACCUCUCCCAAAAACUGUGGUUGGCUUCCAGUAUAUUUUAACAGCCACAGAUUACUUCUCAAAGUGGGUUGAGGCUUUCCCAUUAAAGAAAAAAACAUGGUUGUGCCAAAAUAAUCGUAUCUGACCAGGGAAGUUAAUGAA